UGGAUUCAGAAGGUAUAAAUAACCCGGGAAGAAAUACAAAAAUGCAGAUAGUUCACAUUCGUUUCCCAGUGUUCUUUCUUUGGGUGUAGCUGCUUAUGUCCGUCAUUUAUCAAUUGAAACUCAGUUAGGUCUCUUUGUCAAAGAAAUCCACUUCUAUCAAAAUAUGUCCUCAUACAAUAUCGUUGUCGAAGUGUAUAAUGAUCUCCUGGUUCUGCUCAUUUCACUUAGCAUCAGUUCAUGUAAGUCUCGCCAGUCCUCUCUGUAUUCAUCCUGCUGGUCAUUUCUUACAGAACAAUAAUAUUCCAUAA